CCUACGGGUGGCAGCAGUGGGGAAUAUUGGACAAUGGGCGAAAGCCUGAUCCAGCCAUGCCGCGUGUGUGAAGAAGGCCUUCGGGUUGUAAAGCACUUUCGGUGGGGAAGAAAGCCUUGGGGCUAAUACCCUCGAGGAAGGACAUCACCCACAGAAGAAGCACCGGCUAACUCCGUGCCAGCAGCCGCGGUAAUACGGAGGGUGCGAGCGUUAAUCGGAAUUACUGGGCGUAAAGCGCGCGUAGGCGGUCUGAUAAGCCGGUUGUGAAAGCCCCGGGCUCAACCUGGGAACGGCAUCCGGAACUGUCAGGCUAGAGUGCAGGAGAGGAAGGUAGAAUUCCCGGUGUAGCAGUGAAAUGCGUAGAGAUCGGGAGGAAUACCAGUGGCGAAGGCGGCCUUCUGGACUGACACUGACGCUGAGGUGCGAAAGCGUGGGUAGCAAACAGGAUUAGAUACCCCUGUAGUC
rnacentral:rRNA from 1 species